rnacentral:lncRNA from 1 species
AUGUUUCCUGUCCUGUUCCUGUGGAGGGUCGCCAGGGCCGCUCCUCUUCACAUGACUGUUCCUGAGAAGGGUCAGGGCUGCUCCCCUUCAUGUGUCCUGUCCCUUGGGAGAGUCGUCGGGACCCCUCCUCUGUCUGUUUCUGAGGAGGGGUUCGUCAUGUCAUCCCUCACUUCUGCUGGGCUGCAGGAACCCAAACAAAUAUCUGGACUUUUGUUUUAUUCCUCCAGGUCCCUUCCUGUCAGGUGUUUGGGAAUCUGGGAUCUGCCCUUUAGGGGAAGGGUACUGUGGUUUAGUUUGGUUUUUAUGUUUUGGUCGUGUUCUGUGCUGCACUUAGCCAGUCACACCAGUUUCAGGUUGAUGAUGGUCCACAGCUGCCUUCAUUUCAGUUAAGUGCCCUCAGCCUAUAGAAGUGUCUGGUUUUCAGUUUGUCGUUGUCAGGUGUCAUGUGCGCUGCUCUUUUAUUACAUGUUUAAGUCCUACACCGCCUAUCCCUGACAUAGCUGAAGGUCCGCACAGAAACUGGGGAUCAAAAACACAUUUUCACAUAGAUUUCCAACAUAAGAAAGCUCAUAAGUGAAUUAGUUUUCAUGUGAAUGAAUGUGGUAAAUUAUAUACAGUAUGAGGGAUUGAAAUUAAAUUGUGAGGCGUCAUUUUUAUUUUAUCGCUUUUUUAAUCUACAAAUAAUGCUGUAAUGUAUUUUAUGAAAACCUUUUUGAAGGUCUAAUUGAAAUGGGUCAACCAAAGCUUGGUCUGCAGGUUCAGGUUGUCUGCAGACCAGUGGAGGGAGCUGCAGUGACAUCUACUGAUUCUGUGUGGAAUUUCAAAUGGUGCCAGCCAGAAGCUUUUUCUCAGACUGUCAGGAGGACUCUUUAAAAAGUACUCUGUGAUGCAAACCAGAAGGGCCUUUUAACCCUUGUGCUAUCUUAGAUGACCCCACCCUUACAUUGGCGUGUCCUACAUACCAUGACAAAGGUGGAUAAAGGUGGAAAGAUUUCAUGUUAUAUAUGGACACCACUGAAGAUCACAAAUCAUUGAAGAAAAAAGGUUCAGAGGACUGUCUAGUGGGUCUAGAUGACCCAACUUCCAAUGUUAAAGUGCCUAGGAUAGCACAAGGGUUAAAAAAAAGUUGUUUUGGCAGUAAACAUCAGAUAAGCCAAGAAAAUAUCUGACCACUCAGCACAUUAUUUCUAAUUUUGUUUCUGUACAUUACCACAGUGAAUUCUAAAGAAAGAAACUCAGAUGCCAUUGAAGUGCAGACUUUCAGCUUUUAUUCCAUGGUUUGUACAAAAAGAUUGCAUAAAAAUGUGAAAAACUAAAGCAUUUUUUAAACACAAUCCCCUCAUUUCAUGGGCUUUCAUUGACUUCCAUGCAAUUGCAUGGAAGUCAAUUGUCCAACAAAGGGGUUAUUUAGUGAUUGCUGGGCCAUUCCAUGCCGCUCCCUGCUUUAUUUUUAUUUAUUUAAAGACACUCGGGUUACAAUGCAAAGGGCCGAUCUUCAAAUCAAACUUUAUUUCUGUGAAAUAUUAUCUCAAUUUCAGCACAGAAACAUAAGUUUUUCCCUGUUGUCAAAUGUUCAUCUUUUUGUAUUCCCUUGGUUCACAAAUUCAUCAAGUUCUUGUUUGCACAGGCUUUCCAGUCUCCUUUUUUAAAAGACCCCCCAAAGCAAACAUCUGAUGUAAAGAGUUUCAUUGCAGCUUUGUUUGGUGAUAGAUGUGUUGCCCCCUGUGGAGCAACAGCCAGCUGACAUGACAAUGCAAUCUUUUUGUUCAACCCAUGGAAGAAAAGUUGAAAGUCUGCACUUCAAUGGCAUCCAAGUUGUUUUAUUUAAAAUUCACUGUGGUAAUGUACAGAAACUAAAUUAGAAGGAAUGUGUCUCUGUCCAAAUAUUUAUGGUCCUGACUGUAGUUAUGAUCUGUAAAAAAUGAUUUUUAACACUAAGUAAUUCCUCGUUUCUUAGCAGGGCAGCUUUUUUUACUCUGUAUGAUCACCUAAACAAUACGUUUUCCACAGACGACACUGAAACACGGAAAUUAGUUAUAAAGCUACAAUCUGGUGCAAGCAUCUUUGCUUUUUAAGCUUAAUGUAUUUGUAUGCUGUCCCGAUAAAUUAAUAACUUAAACUAAGCAAAUUCAGAAGCAAAAGCAUACAAGCAAAUGUGUGCAGGCUUUGAAAACGCAGAAAAAAGUUUUCUUUUCUGGAUUCAUAAUCAUAAUCUUGCAAUUUUUACUAACAUUUUAUGCAACUAAGCAAGAAAAAUCCCAUUUAACUAAACUGAUACAAGUUAUGGAUUUGUUCUUGUUGUUCUUUUGACAUUGUUGGCACCAACGUUAAUUUAUUUGUAUUUUUUUUCCUAUGGUUUGUUAAUAAUAAACAGAAGUAGCCACAAUAUAUCAUAAUUUUGACAAGGUUUUUAAUCUGUUUAUCCAUCUAUGUAUCUAUCAGUCUAUUCAUCCAUCCAUCUAUUUAUCUAUCCAUCUGUCAUCAAGUAAUCGAUUUUACCCGUGCAUCUUUUACACUAUCUCCUAUUCAAACUUUCACGGACUUUGAUAUAUAUCUGGGUUUUUUCUGCCAUAAAUCAAAGCAUCGAUCAAAGCUUUUUUUCUUAAAAAAGAGCCGUCACCUCUCUGUGUAUCAAACUGACUGACGUCUGAGCACCUUUCAACAGCUGGAACUUUUCUCCUCCCAGACGAGAGCUGAAGGUCUGGCAGAAUAAUCACACACUCCCAAGAUUCAACUACAGGGUCUGACCACAGACUUCCCUGUCAUCCAAACUCUAUUGCAAUUGUCUGAUCGUAGACAUUCCGACUCUUUUCUUGCUAUUCCACCGCACAGACACCACAAACUCCAUGACAGAAACUGUCAAUUCAAGCAAAACCAACCAAAGCAUUUUAACAUAAAACAUGAAAACUAACAAGCAUGAAAUGGUGUGGCUGCCCCCAAAGCACAUUGGUGAGGACAAGCAAACAAGCCCAGAUGUUUGAGCUGGCUUUGAAAAUGUGCAAACUCAUUAAGAACGUUUUAAUGCCUGAGCCUGCAGUGUACAAGCAUGAGAGAGUGAAUCUUUACAAGCUAGCUGUGUGCAUCAAAGAGGGCUGCAGCUGCUAAAGACAGGCCUCGACGCGCCUCAGAUCCACAAUUAGCAAAUACUACCAAAUAUGCAUAAAAGCAAAGCUAGGGGGUGGAACGCCAAAUGCAUCUCAGGUUUGUUUUUGAACUUGAGAAAAAGUCACAGUUAAUACCUGGUGAUUCUUUAACAAAAAAAAAAAAAUCUGCUGCUGUCCCCACAAAAGAGUUGAAUUCAGUGAGGUUUACGUGAAGAAACAAGCUCCCUAAGUAUGAUCCCACCCUCCCCUUACAAACCCACCUCCAGAAGUUACCACCUAUCCGUCUCACUCUAAGAGCAGUGUCAUUUUAGAGCGUCAACCCACCUCUGGAAUUUCAGAGGGGAAGAAGGAGAAGCAAAUUAUGGGACACGGACUUCAGCUGCAGCACUGAAAAAGAGACUGAAAAAGAAAAGUUUUAUUUUGUAGUCUGGAUUUACAGAAAGCCUAAAGGUUUUUUUUAUUUUUUAUUUUUUUCAAUAACCCAACAGAGAUCUGCUCCCAUCAAGAAAGUUUUAUGACAGUAAAUCAUUUGGAUGAACAGAUAGAACAUCCAGACCAAAGCCUGUCUUU